rnacentral:rRNA from 1 species
GACGAACGCUGGCGGCGUGCUUAACACAUGCAAGUCGAACGGAAAGGCCCUGCUUUUGUGGGGUGCUCGAGUGGCGAACGGGUGAGUAACACGUGAGUAACCUGCCCUUGACUUUGGGAUAACUUCAGGAAACUGGGGCUAAUGCCGGAUAGGAGCUCCUGCUGCAUGGUGGGGGUUGGAAAGUUUCGGCGGUUGGGGAUGGACUCGCGGCUUAUCAGCUUGUUGGUGGGGUAGUGGCUUACCAAGGCUUUGACGGGUAGCCGGCCUGAGAGGGUGACCGGCCACAUUGGGACUGAGAUACGGCCCAGACUCCUACGGGAGGCAGCAGUGGGGAAUAUUGCACAAUGGGCGGAAGCCUGAUGCAGCAACGCCGCAUGCGGGAUGACGGCCUUCGGGUUGUAAACCGCUUUCGCCUGUGACGAAGCGUGAGUGACGGUAAUGGGUAAAGAAGCACCGGCUAACUACGUG